CGGAGUAUAGCGCAGUCUGGUAGCGCGCCUGCUUUGGGAGCAGGAUGUCGGGAGUUCGAAUCUCUCUACUCCGACCA
rnacentral:tRNA from 15 species